rnacentral:rRNA from 1 species
GCAUAUCAAUAAGCGGAGAAAGGAGAUAAAAUGAUUCCCUAGUAACGGCGAGUGAAGAGGAAAGAGCUCAAAGUUGGAACCUGUUUGGCCUAGCUAAACCGGAUUGUAGACUGUAGAAGUGUUUUCCAGGCAAGCCGAGUAAAUAAGUCCUUUGGAACAGGGCAUCAUAGAGGGUGAGAAUCCCGUCUUUGGCUUGAGCAUUUGCCUUUUGUGAUACGCUUUCAAAGAGUCAGGUUGUUUGGGAAUGCAGCCUAAAUUGGGUGGUAAAUCUCACCUAAAGCUAAAUAUUGGCGAGAAACCGAUAGCGAACAAGUACCGUGAGGGAAAGAUGAAAAGAACUUUGAAAAGAGAGUUAAACAGUAUGUGAAAUUGUUAAAAGGGAACCGUUUGGAGCCAGACUGGCUUGUCUGUAAUCAAUCUAGGCUUCGGCCUGGAUGCACUUGCAGGCUAUGCCUGCCAACGACAAUUUGACUUGAGGGAAAAAACUAAGGGAAAUGUGGCCCACUUGUGGGUGUUAUAGUCCCUUAGAAAAUACCUUGGGUUGGAUUGAGGAACGCAGCGAAUGCUUUUUGGCGAGUUUUCCAGGAAGGUUUUCUGAGGUACUACGGUAUCAAGGUUGAUCUUUUUGGUUAUACUUUCUAUUCGCUUAGGUUGUUGGCUUAAUGACUCUAAAUGACCCGUCUUGAAACACGGACCAAGGAGUCCACCAUUAGUGCGAGUAUUUGGGUGCCAAACCCAUAUGCGUAAGGAAACUGAUUGAUACGAAUCCAUUAAGGAGGCAGUAUCGUCCGGCGCUGACGUUUUAUACUGAAUUGACCGAGACAAAGCACUAAUGAUGGGACCCGAAAGAUGGUGAACUAUGCCUGAAUAGGGUGAAGCCAGAGGAAACUCUGGUGGAGGCUCGUAGCGAUUCUGACGUGCAAAUCGAUCGUCAAAUUUGGGUAUAGGGGCGAAAGGACUAAUCGAGCAUCUAGGUAGCUGGAUCUGCGA